ensembl:lncRNA
GCUUUGUUCACUAAGACCUGGCCCCAAGCAAUUAGAGUUGAGCAGGAUUCAUCUGUCUGCCUCCCUCCAUGGCACUUGUCCGGGUAAACAACAGAAUCUCAGGUGUUCUUACUUCUCCCUGCAGCGUGUCAGCAUGCUUACACAUCCUCGUUCUUCUUUGUGCUCACAGAGGAGGCCAAUUAGGGCUCAAUCUUCCUGUUCUCCUGCAGCAGAGGAAACUUACAUGCAGACUACUAAGUAAAAGCAGCUCACCCAAAAAGGAUAUUUACUAUGUGAUUCCAACUCCAUGAUAUUCUGGAAAAGGUAAAAUCGUGGAGACAGCAAAAAGGGGUUAGGGAGGAGGGAGAGACGACUAGUAGAGCACAGAGGGCACUGAAAAUACUCUGUAUGAUAGUGUAAUAAUGGGUACAUGGAGUUAUACAUAUAUCCUGACCCAUAGAGAUAAGUAUAACCCCAACAUAUGAGGUGUGAUCAAAAUAGACGUGUGUUUAAAUUAUUUAAAAAAUUAUUACAGUAGGAGACACAUUGCUAUUAACCACUCCCCCACCCCCAAAACCUCCUCCUCGUGUUUGGGUCCCUGAGGAGCUGCGGCCAGGAGAAUGAGGGCUGCUGGAACGCACGGUCAGUGUGGCAGCCCAGGACGGAAGAGCUCCGUGGCCCGAGACUGCAAGGCUCCAGGCUUCCCCACCCCACAUGGCUGAGGGGCCCAGUAGUACCAGCCCAGAUCCGCCUCUGCCACCUCCACGCCUGACUCUAGGAUAAUUCUUACCUGUUACCACCCCUUGCUGCCCUGUCUGGUCCCAGGGUCUCCAAACUCAUCCUUUGCCAUUUUAAAAAAAUUCUUUUAUUGGUACAUUUUAGGUAUACAAUACGUUUACAUUUACCAUUGGGUACUUGUACCUGUACAUGAUGUAUUUUGGUUAUUGUUUCCCCCAUUACCUGUGUGCCCUUUGCCAUCUUGGACCUCGGGUACUGUUUCCAUCCCUGAUUCCAAACCUAGCCCUGGGGAAUCCAGAUGUGGAAUUAGAAAGGUUCAGCAGUCUUCUCACUCCAAUCCCAAGCCUUCUUUGGUCACAGGCACUGUAUGGGCCUCUUGAGGUGUUGUGGCUACCUGAAGGAGCUGUGGGUCUGGGUCCCCUUCCCCAGCUAAGCCUUCACUUCCUGCAAGAGCUGCCAGAGCCCAGCUUAGCGCGGAACUUCCUGCCCUACAGGGAGCAAUGCCACGCCUGCCCAGGUGGAGUCUCACUUAAUACCAUCAGCCCGUGCUUUGGCUGCAGGAGUGCUACAGGUGAACCCUGUCGCUGUCCUCCCUCACCUGGCUCUUGCACCUUCACUCUCCUGCCCCUCAACCCAGUUGCUCCGCCACACUGUGACUGCUGCUGCCCCCAGCUCAGCCUCUCAGGCCUCGUCUCUCCUGCACCGUGCCCCCCUGGAGGAACUCUGCCCUUUGCACCCUCUGCCGCUGGCCGCAGCCCCCAGACACUCCAGGCCAUCCCUUGGCCUCUGGCAGGGAACUCUAGGAGCAGCUAGAGGAAGUCUACACAUGUGGAGAGAAGGAAGUGGGCCAGUCUGACAUUCAGGUGCAUCUCCCUUCCACAGCUGGGGUCCCAGCCCUGGCUUAGUACCACACAGGGAAACAUCCGGG